GACGGAGGAUGCAAGCGUUAUCCGGAAUGAUUGGGCGUAAAGCGUCCGCAGGUGGCAGUUCAAGUCUGCUGUCAAAGACCGGGGCUUAACUUCGGAAAGGCAGUGGAAACUGAACAGCUAGAGUAUGGUAGGGGCAGAGGGAAUUCCUGGUGUAGCGGUGAAAUGCGUAGAUAUCAGGAGGGAACACCGGUGGCGAAGGCGCUCAUCUGGCCCAAUACUGACGCUGAGGCGCGAAAGCUAGGGUAGCGAACGGG
rnacentral:rRNA from 1 species